ACGCUUUUCUCUCCUUCUCAUUCACUUCAUUCCUCUACUGUAUAUCACCAAACAAUCACUCUCUCUUCUCUUUUCUUCCUUUCUUUCUAUCUAAAACUAGCCAAAGUUAUGAUCAAUCUUUGAAUUUUUUUCCAAUUAAGUUUUAUUCUAGGUGACUCGAGGUAAGAUGUCUGGUUAUGUGGGUGUACUUGUUUCUGAUCCGUGGCUUCAAAGCCAGUUCACCCAA
rnacentral:misc_RNA from 1 species